GAUGAACGCUAGCUACAGGCUUAACACAUGCAAGUCGAGGGGUAACGAGAGGAAAGCUUGCUUUCCUUGUCGACGACCGGCGCACGGGUGAGUAACGCGUAUCCAACCUGCCCCCAACUAGGGAAUAACCUUGCGAAAGUAAGACUAAUACCCUAUAAUUUCCUCAGAUGUCAUCUGACGAGGAAUAAAGAUUUAUCGGUUGUGGAUGGGGAUGCGUCUGAUUAGCUUGUUGGCGGGGUAACGGCCAACCAAGGCAACGAUCAGUAGGGGUUUUGAGCGGAAGGUCCCCCACAUUGGAACUGAGACACGGUCCAAACUCCUACGGGAGGCAGCAGUGAGGAAUAUUGGUCAAUGGGCGGAAGCCUGAACCAGCCAAGUAGCGUGCAGGAUGACGGCCCUAUGGGUUGUAAACUGCUUUUAUACAGGAAUAAAGUUAGCCACGUGUGGUUAUUUGUAGGUACUGUAUGAAUAGGGACCGGCUAAUUCCGUGCCAGCAGCCGCCGCAG
rnacentral:rRNA from 1 species